AUGAAUCAAGACCUGGAUGACGGUUUUAUUGGUUCUUCUGCAGCACCAUCGCGAUUCAGGGUAGGACGACCCAGAAGAUUUCACCCCAGCCAAAGUUUCAUCUGUACAGAAGAGGAGCUCUGGUAGCUUCGGCUGAGAAUUUUCAGUAGGAAAUGCUUCAAUACAAAGCAAGUGUUAUUUUCAAGGCAGACCUUCUACAAUUAUAUUCAGAUUGCAAGUUUCUUGAGAGAGGAGACCCUGAGAACUAGAAACAUCCAUACAGACAGAGAAAUAGAAAAAAAAUUGGACAGACAGCCUUUUGUUGCUCUAAUAAUCCAGAAAAUUUGCCUUAACACGUUCAGAAGAGAUCUUCUGCUGUGGCAUGUGACUCUGCUCCUUUCCCCCGCCUGCCCUCUGCUGGAAUUGCUAAUGAGCAGUAAGAUGGCCAAAGCAGGACAUUGCACAGGAAACGUGGGGAAGCAGGGGCUUGUCUGACUGAAAGGCAAGUUGAAUGGCUGUGAUUUGUGAAUCCACAAUCGAGACCUCUGAAGCUCCUCAUUAUAUGCCUCUUGAUAACUACUAGCCUCCUCACAAGUCUCCUUAUGGUUCACCGUGCACAGGGAUGUGAUUCUGCCUACCCACAAGAGAUGGCCCAAGUGACCUUGUGAAUUCUCUUUCUCCACUGCGCUUCUUUCAUCUCUAAAGUCAUCCAGGGGAUGACAGACAGCCGAACCAGGUGGUGCCCCUCCCAGACACAAAUGCCCUCCCUGUCACCAUCCCCUCAGAGCCUUCACCACCUUCAUCUGCAAAAGGCAUUUACUAGGGGCUGGCAAGACUGCCAAUCUGGAGAUGCAGCACAGGAGACAAGUCUGAAACUCUAGCCUGGUUUCCUGUUUCGAAGGGCAGCAGGAUGCGACAGCUGCUGAGGCAGCCCUUUGCCCUUGGAGAGGGGAAGCUCGAGAAUGUGAUCACUAGGUCACCUCUCCCUGCUGCGGUCUCACGGGAGGUGUGGACAGUCUCCCUCCCCUACCCACUCUUGGUCAGUUGUCUAGAAAAGAGGAGGAAAAACAUGUUUUUGCUUUUUUAAAAAAUUGUUAUUAAAAGAAGACACACUCUGGGGAAGCAGAAUCCAUUAGCUGAAUCCAUUUUAGCAUCCAUGGUUAAUUAAUUUAGGCAGCCUUAAUGCUAUUUUAUUAUGUAGCCUUUAAGAGCUGUUCUGGUAAAUGCCCAUCCCAUAAAUACUAGCUCUACUCUGUAUGUGUAAUAUGCUUUUUGGAAGGGUGAGUCUGAAUUAUUAUCCAGAUAUUAAUCUGCAUACAAUCCCAUCCAGCUAAUGCAAAGAUGCUUCCUCAUAUUUUGAACAUUAUUCAGUACAUUCAGAAGUGAGGAAAAAAACUGCUCAGAUAUGACAUUCUGCAUUUUAAGUCAAUCUGCUUGCUUCCAAAAACAUAAUUUUUAACAUCAAUUUCACCAUUCUACAGACUAAAUAAUUGAUUUCCGUAUUUCAUUCUGUAAAUUAAACACUAGACUUUGAAUUACUCGAAGAAUUAUUGGCACAGUUAGCCAAUAAACCUUUCUUAUAAAAUGACAGCAUUUUAAUUUAUUAUGUGCAUUAGCAUUUAUUCAUGCCUAAGAUUUCAUCAAUCAAUUUUCCAUUUUAAAAAGAUGUCUCUGGAAACAACAGUGGAGAAAUGCUGAGUUCCAAAAGCAAUGUUGUGAAAGGCAGCAGGUCGAGUGUGCUGGCCACACAUAACUAAAUUAUAGUCAAUAGCUAUGUGGCUCCAAGUAUAAACCCACAUUUUCUAAAGUAUCUACCUUAUGAACUGACUUUCCUGGAAUGUUAGAAUUUUAAAAAGAAAA